rnacentral:rRNA from 1 species
UGGGGAAUAUUGGACAAUGGGCGCAAGCCUGAUCCAGCCAUGCCGCGUGGGUGAUGAAGGCCUUAGGGUUGUAAAGCCCUUUCGGCGGGGAAGAUAAUGACGGUACCCGCAGAAGAAGCCCCGGCUAACUUCGUGCCAGCAGCCGCGGUAAUACGAAGGGGGCUAGCGUUGCUCGGAAUUACUGGGCGUAAAGCGCACGUAGGCGGCUUGUUAAGUCGGGGGUGGAAUCCCGGAGCUCAACUCCGGAACUGCCUUCGAUACUGGCAAGCUCGAGUCCGGGAGAGGUGAGUGGAACUGCGAGUGUAGAGGUGAAAUUCGUAGAUAUUAGGAAGAACACCAGUGGCGAAGGCGCCUUACUGGCUCGGUACUGACGCUGAGGUACGAAAGCGUGGGGAGCAAACA